rnacentral:rRNA from 1 species
UACGAAGGGGGCUAGCGUUGUUCGGAAUUACUGGGCGUAAAGCGCGUGUAGGCGGCUCUUUAAGUCAGGGGUGAAAUGCCAAGGCUCAACCUUGGAACUGCCUUUGAUACUGGAGAUCUUGAGUCCGGGAGAGGUGAGUGGAAUUGCGAGUGUAGAGGUGAAAUUCGUAGAUAUUCGCAAGAACACCAGUGGCGAAGGCGGCUCACUGGCCCGGAACUGACGCUGAGACGCGAAAGCGUGGGGAGCAAACAGG